rnacentral:rRNA from 1 species
AUACGGAGGGCGCAAGCGUUGCCCGGAAUCACUGGGUGUAAAGGGUGCGUAGGCGGGGCUGUAAGUCAGAGGUGAAAGCCCUCGGCUCAACCGGGGAAUUGCCUCUGAUACUGCAGCUCUUGAGUCCCGGAGAGGCCGCUGGAAUUCCUGGUGUAGCGGUGAAAUGCGUAGAUAUCAGGAGGAACACCGGAGGCGAAGGCGGGCGGCUGGACGGGGACUGACGCUGAGGCACGAAAGCGUAGGGAGCAAACAGGAUUAGAUACCCUAGUAGUCC